UACAGAGGUGGCAAGCGUUGUUCGGAUUUACUGGGCGUAAAGGGUGCGUAGGUGGUUAUCUGUGUCGGGUGUGAAAUCCCACGGCUCAACCGUGGAAUGGCAUUCGAAACUGGAUGGCUAGAGUGCAGGAUGGGAGAGCGGAAUUCUUGGUGUAGCGGUGAAAUGCGUUGAUAUCAAGAAGAACACCGGUGGCGAAGGCGGCUCUCUGGAAUGCAACUGACACUGAGGCACGAAAGCUGGGGAAGCAAACAGG
rnacentral:rRNA from 1 species